GACGAACCGUGCGAACGUUGUUCGGAAUCACUGGGCAUAAAGGGCGCGUAGGCGGCUUUUCAAGUCAGGGGUGAAAUCCGGCAGCUUAACUGUCGAAGUGCCCUUGAUACUGAUGAGCUCGAGGGAGGUAGGGGUAUGUGGAACUUCCGGUGUAGCGGUGAAAUGCGUAGAGAUCGGGAGGAACACCAAGGCGAAGGCAGUGUCCUGGCUCGUUCUGACGCUCAAGCACGAAAGCUAAGGAAGCGAACAGG
rnacentral:rRNA from 1 species